GGGGGCGAUCGGUUUCGACGUGGAUUGCGAAACUAGAGGUGCAUGCCGAGUAUGUUAGCUAAUCUCGUAAAUCUUGCUGCAAACUUAUAGUUGCAAACGAUGACAACUACGCUCUAGCUGCAUAAAAACCAGUCUAUAGCCGUCCGACCAGUUCAGCUUACGGAUCUGGACCCGGGCGUAACCUUAGUAAGCUCGUGGUGAAGUCUGUCUAGAGCGGAUCCAUUAAAACUAAUCUGGGCUCCCCUCUAUAUGCCCUGUCGGUCGGGAGUAUAGGGGCUAAGUUAAAGAGCGACUAAGCAUGUAGUACCAACGGCAGAGAAUUUGCGGACGCGGGUUCGAUUCCCGCCGCCUCCACCA
rnacentral:tmRNA from 1 species